rnacentral:rRNA from 1 species
UGUCCUACGGGAGGCAGCAGUGGGGAAUAUUGCACAAUGGGCGCAAGCCUGAUGCAGCCAUGCCGCGUGUGUGAAGAAGGCCUUCGGGUUGUAAAGCACUUUCAGCGAGGAGGAAGGGUUCAGUGUUAAUAGCACUAUUCAUUGACGUUACUCGCAGAAGAAGCACCGGCUAACUCCGUGCCAGCAGCCGCGGUAAUACGGAGGGUGCAAGCGUUAAUCGGAAUUACUGGGCGUAAAGCGCACGCAGGCGGUUUGUUAAGUCAGAUGUGAAAUCCCCGCGCUUAACGUGGGAACUGCAUUUGAAACUGGCAAGCUAGAGUCUUGUAGAGGGGGGUAGAAUUCCAGGUGUAGCGGUGAAAUGCGUAGAGAUCUGGAGGAAUACCGGUGGCGAAGGCGGCCCCCUGGACAAAGACUGACGCUCAGGUGCGAAAGCGUGGGGAGCAAACAGGGUUAGAUACCCUGGUAGUCCACGCUGUAAACGAUGUCGACUUGGAGGUUGUGCCCUUGAGGCGUGGCUUCCGGAGCUAACGCGUUAAGUCGACCGCCUGGGGAGUACGGCCGCAAGGUUAAAACUCAAAUGAAUUGACGGGGGCCCCCACAAGCGGUGGAGCAUGUGG